UAUUGGUCAAUGGACGCAAGUCUGAACCAGCCAUGCCGCGUGAAGGAUGAAGGUCCUCUGGAUUGUAAACUUCUUUUAUAGGGGACGAAAAAAGGGAAUUCUUUCUCACUUGACGGUACCCUAGGAAUAAGCACCGGCUAACUCCGUGCCAGCAGCCGCGGUAAUACGGAGGGUGCAAGCGUUAUCCGGAUUCACUGGGUUUAAAGGGUGCGUAGGUGGGCAUUUAAGUCAGUGGUGAAAUCUCCGGGCUUAACCCGGAAACUGCCAUUGAUACUAUUUGUCUUGAAUAUUGUGGAGGUAAGCGGAAUAUGUCAUGUAGCGGUGAAGUGCUUAGAUAUGACAUAGAACACCCAUUGCGAAGGCAGCUUACUACGCAAAUAUGACACUGAGCACGAAAG
rnacentral:rRNA from 1 species